UGGGGAAUAUUGGACAAUGGGCGAAAGCCUGAUCCAGCCAUGCCGCGUGUGUGAAGAAGGUCUUCGGAUUGUAAAGCACUUUAAGUUGGGAGGAAGGGCAGUAAGCGAAUACCUUGCUGUUUUGACGUUACCGACAGAAUAAGCACCGGCUAACUCUGUGCCAGCAGCCGCGGUAAUACAGAGGGUGCAAGCGUUAAUCGGAAUUACUGGGCGUAAAGCGCGCGUAGGUGGUUCGUUAAGUUGAAUGUGAAAGCCCCGGGCUCAACCUGGGAACUGCAUCCAAAACUGGCGAGCUAGAGUAGGGCAGAGGGUGGUGGAAUUUCCUGUGUAGCGGUGAAAUGCGUAGAUAUAGGAAGGAAAACCAGGGGCGAAGGCGACCACCUGGGCUCAUACUGACACUGAGGUGCGAAAGCGUGGGGAGCAAACAGG
rnacentral:rRNA from 1 species